GACAGCAGUCGCCACGGUAAUACGUAGGUGGCAAGCGUUGUCCGGAUUUAUUGGGCGUAAAGCGAGCGCAGGCGGUCAAUUAAGUCUGAUGUGAAAGCCCCCGGCUCAACCGGGGAGGGUCAUUGGAAACUGGUUGACUUGAGUGCAGAAGAGGAGAGUGGAAUUCCAUGUGUAGCGGUGAAAUGCGUAGAUAUAUGGAGGAACACCAGUGGCGAAGGCGACUCUCUGGUCUGUAACUGACGCUGAGGCUCGAAAGCGUGGGUAGCAAACAGGAUUAGAUACCCCCGUAGUCCCUGUCUCUUAUAC
rnacentral:rRNA from 1 species